rnacentral:SRP_RNA from 1 species
GGGUCUUGCGCAAUGUGUGCCACCGAACCGUGUCAGGACGGGAACGUAGCAGCACUAAGGAGGAAUACGCAUGUGACGCGAGGGUGCCUGG